rnacentral:rRNA from 1 species
GCCCAUGGCCAUUCCACCCUGAACUUGCCUGAUCUCAUCUAAUCUUGGAAGCUAACCAGGGUCUGGCCUGGUUAGUACUUGGACAGGAGUGAUUCAGGGAGGGGAAUUACAAUAGAGAGAUUGUGAAGCUAUAUGUU